UUUUAAAAGGACAGUAGCUAAGCCUAUCAUAUAGAUGUUCUUCGACUCAAAAUUGAAGCUUGGUAGUCAUCACAAACUUACUUACCAGGACAUUUACAAGAAAAUAGUAUUAUUUCUCAUAUUAAGUAGACCUAACAAAAAAAAAUAAGCCCACACCAACCUUAAAUAUAAAUAGAAAAAUUCAUGUCAUUUGCCACACUAGCUUUAUCAUAAUUGCUUGGACCGAGGAUCACAUUGUAUGCAGUACACAUACAGAGGCAGGGGAGAGGGAAAGGUAAAUGAAUUUAUAAUUCAGGCUCAUCCGUCUUUUGGGAUUGCUUCAAUUCCUCAAAUAGUGAAAUUUUUACACUACAUACUGGUACAAUACACUGCAGUAUUACAGAGUCAGGGCCAACAUGGUUAAGAUGAUGCAAAGAACUGUAAUUGAAACUACACCUUGGCUUGGGAAGGUUACUCUCAGUUAAGUGGGCCAACUGCAAAAAUUCAUUCACUCAGAGGCAGGCAUCCACCAGUAUUGUAAACUUAAAUCAAUCCCUGGCGUUGCAGAUCAGUAUAUGUCUUUUUGUUGUAGAUAUUCCCCUCUCUGUCUUCAUACUCCUCCUCAAGAUCUGGUCGCCACUUGUUCAGUCCUUGCCGCUCUUGUAUUUUUUUCCACAAUUCUUUUGCUUCCUCAAUUGAUGUGAUCUCAUUAAAGUUCUUGGUGUUUGGAAUGCCAAGACAACGCAUCCCAUGCUGAUGGCGCCAUUCCUUGAAAUGCCGCUCAAAAGCCCUACGUCCCCAGUAACUAUAGUUCCCACAUAUCUCACACUUGAAUUCCUGAGAAGAAGUUACAUAAAUAUUAAACUUGCAGGCCACAGACAGAACCUAUAAUAUAGAAUCUAGGAAAACAUAAAUGCGAAGAGAUUAACCAAACAGAAGGGAAGAUAUGAGGCUAAGAUGGAUACCUAAAACACUGGCACACAAAAUAUAGUUUCAUAUGCUACUGCUACCAACAUGAAGAAGAUACCUGACCAAGACCAUGAAGUUUAUACAGCCAGUAAGGAAUAGGCUUUCCAUCCCAACCCAUUGGCAGCUUGAGAGGAUUGUAAAUCUGUUGCUCCUCAUCAUCACUUUCAGUGUCAGCUUGCAUCUCUUCCUGCCCCAUAUUUUCAGAUCAAAUAACCAUGUAAAUAGAAGAUUCAACUAUCCUAAAUAUUACAAUAUGACAAGUUAUGGAGCAAUAAUAAUCACACAACAAGAACGUGGGGGAGAUAGGAAAAGUUUCGAGAUAAAGUGUCAUACUAAUUGGAUCACACAAAUUUUCCAGAUGCAAUUAUGCUAAUGCCUAUUUGUCAAUAUGCUAGGAGAAUGCCAGGCAAGGGAGAAUAUUGGAAUAAAUUUCAAAACUUUCAUCAACUUCUAUGAAGAAUUUUCAAAGACGGCACAAAUUUGGACAUGUUUUGAAGUUAAUCUACACCAUAGGUAAGGUACUUCAGAACUUGUGCUGACUUCUAUUAACUUACCUCCUCACGCUCUGCUUCCAUUUCAUCAUAUGUCAAAGCCUGCUUCUUCACAACAUUUUCUUUUGUCUGUACAAUAGUCUCACUCAGUAAAUCACACAGUUUUUUCAUUUUGGCCUCCAUCAGGGCAAUUGCUUUUGAAUUAUUAACUUCUUUUAAGGCAGUUGCACCUCCAUUCCGUUCUGAUCCAUGUGAAACUUUUGCAAAAUGUUUAGUCCUAAUGCACCCAAUGCUGAACAGUACUGCCAGUCUUUAG
rnacentral:misc_RNA from 1 species